rnacentral:rRNA from 1 species
CAGCAGCCGCGGGAAUACGAAGGGUGCAAGCGUUACUCGGAAUUACUGGGCGUAAAGCGUGCGUAGGUGGUGGUUUAAGUCCGUUGUGAAAGCCCUGGGCUCAACCUGGGAAUUGCAGUGGAUACUGGGUCACUAGAGUGUGGUAGAGGAUAGUGGAAUUUCCGGUGUAGCAGUGAAAUGCGUAGAGAUCGGAAGGAACAUCUGUAGCGAAGGCGACUAUCUGGGCCAACACUGACACUGAGGCACGAAAGCGUGGGGAGCAAACAGGAUUAGAUACCCCCGUAGUCCCUGUCUCUUAUAC